GAAGUCCUGUAAGCACAGCAAAAGUAGUGGCAUGAACAGUUUCUGUACUCCCUUUAAGUGUAGCUUGGAAGAGUCAGCAGGUAAAACAAUGGUAUUGGGUACCAAAGCACAAGUUGCUUCCAGAGAAGUGCUGGAUUCUUCUAUAUUUCUGCCUAGGAAACAAGGAAAUGUAGGUAAAGCUUCAGAAACUGUUGGUAAUGUCGGUGAGAGAGGUGGUGAAAGGGUUCUGGGAAUGAUUGCAGACCUGAUGAUACAGAGGAUUGAUGUUCCUAACUCCAGUCUGCUGAAAACGAAAAAUGAAGAACUUGCAAGUCGAGGUAAACUAGAGCUUCCCUGUGAGGUGGAUGAUGGAUUGGAGGUGG
rnacentral:lncRNA from 1 species